rnacentral:rRNA from 1 species
AUUGAACGCUGGCGGCAGGCCUACACAUGCAAGUCGAACGGUAACAGGAAGAAGCUUGCUUCUUUGCUGACGAGUGGCGGACGGGUGAGUAAUGUCUGGGAAACUGCCUGAUGGAGGGGGAUAACUACUGGAAACGGUAGCUAAUACCGCAUAACGUCGCAAGACCAAAGAGGGGGACCUUCGGGCCUCUUGCCAUCGGAUUUGCCUAGAUGGGAUUAGCUAGUAGGUGGGGUAACGGCUCACCUAGGCGACGAUCCCUAGCUGGUCUGAGAGGAUGACCAGCCACACUGGAACUGAGACACGGUCCAGACUCCUACGGGAGGCAGCAGUGGGGAAUAUUGCACAAUGGGCGCAAGCCUGAUGCAGCCAUGCCGCGUGUAUGAAGAAGGCCUUCGGGUUGUAAAGUACUUUCAGCGGGGAGGAAGGGAGUAAAGUUAAUACCUUUGCUCAUUGACGUUACCCGCAGAAGAAGCACCGGCUAACUCCGUG